CCUACGGGUGGCUGCAGUGAGGAAUAUUGGUCAAUGGACGAGAGUCUGAACCAGCCAAGUAGCGUGAAGGAUGACUGCCCUAUGGGUUGUAAACUUCUUUUACAUGGGAAUAAAAUGUUCCACGUGUGGGAUUUUGUAUGUACCAUAUGAAUAAGGAUCGGCUAACUCCGUGCCAGCAGCCGCGGUAAUACGGAGGAUCCGAGCGUUAUCCGGAUUUAUUGGGUUGAAAGGGGGGGUAGGUGGGUUGUCAAGUCAGUUGGGAAAGUUUGCGGCUCAACCGUACAAUUGCAGUUGAAACUGGCAGUCUUGAGUACAGUAGAGGUGGGCGGAAUUCGUGGUGUAGCGGUGAAAUGCGUAGAUAUCACGAAGAACUCCGAUUGCGAAGGCAGUUCACUGGACUGCAACUGACACUGAGGCACGAAAGUGUGGGUAUCAAACAGGAUUAGAUACCCCUGUAGUC
rnacentral:rRNA from 1 species